rnacentral:ncRNA from 2 species
AAUUAAAUAGGCGAUGACGUUCGCCGUAAUUAAACUGAUUGUAAUCUGAUGACGUCUACUAUUCC